AACGAACGCUGGCGGCAGGCUUAACACAUGCAAGUCGAGCGCCCCGCAAGGGGAGCGGCAGACGGGUGAGUAACACGUGGGAAUCUACCCAUCCCUGCGGAACAACUCCGGGAAACUGGAGCUAAUACCGCAUACGCCCUUUGGGGGAAAGAUUUAUCGGGGAUGGAUGAGCCCGCGUUGGAUUAGCUAGUUGGUGGGGUAAAGGCCUACCAAGGCGACGAUCCAUAGCUGGUCUGAGAGGAUGAUCAGCCACAUUGGGACUGAGACACGGCCCAAACUCCUACGGGAGGCAGCAGUGGGGAAUAUUGGACAAUGGGCGCAAGCCUGAUCCAGCCAUGCCGCGUGAAUGAUGAAGGCCUUAGGGUUGUAAAGUUCUUUCACCGAUGAAGAUAAUGACGGUAGUCGGAGAAGAAGCCCCGGCUAACUUCGUGCCAGCCGCCGCCGUAA
rnacentral:rRNA from 1 species